CAAACGGCCCUUUUCAGGGCCACCAAAUAUCUCACGAAAGGGUUGU
rfam:Culex pipiens quinquefasciatus supercont3.213 genomic scaffold, whole genome shotgun sequence.